rnacentral:rRNA from 1 species
GUGGGGAAUAUUGGACAAUGGGCGAAAGCCUGAUCCAGCCAUGCCGCGUGUGUGAAGAAGGUCUUCGGAUUGUAAAGCACUUUAAGUUGGGAGGAAGGGCAGUAAGUUAAUACCUUGCUGUUUUGACGUUACCGACAGAAUAAGCACCGGCUAACUUCGUGCCAGCAGCCGCGGUAAUACGAAGGGUGCAAGCGUUAAUCGGAAUUACUGGGCGUAAAGCGCGCGUAGGUGGUUCAGCAAGUUGAAGGUGAAAUCCCCGGGCUCAACCUGGGAACUGCCUCCGAAACUACUGAGCUAGAGUACGGUAGAGGGUAGUGGAAUUUCCUGUGUAGCGGUGAAAUGCGUAGAUAUAGGAAGGAACACCAGUGGCGAAGGCGACUACCUGGACUGAUACUGACACUGAGGUGCGAAAGCGUGGGGAGCAAACAGGAUUAGAAACCCCUGUAGUCC